CCAUCAGGGAGAGCUAGAGGAAAGGGCCCUAGCUCAGAGCCUACAAAGACAAUAGGGACCUUGUAUGAGUCACAGAACUUCGGAUUGUUCACAGUUCACUCUUCAACUUAAUGUAUUUCAAGCCGAUUUUCUACAUUUUGUCAUCUUCUGCUACAUUCAAGAGUUCUAGAAUAUUGACUUUGCAUAAAACACGAGACUUUUUCCUCUCAAAUAUACAUGCUUUUACAUCUGAUUGAGAGCCACAGUUUAGACAAACAGAUUUAAGAAAGCAGAAACCUGCAAAGAAAAUGACUGUGGUUGGAGAGCUAGUGUUUCCUCCAGUGAGUUUGACUCCUUUUAGAGGCAUAUGCAGAGACAACAAAACCCCGGGCUAGCUCUGAAAAGUACAAAGAAAACUGCAUUGAAUUAUGAUCAGAAUGCAGAACCCUACAAGAUUACUGUUCCAUGGAAGAAAAGCAACAUGUGAUCCAGAAUGCAAACCUCUAUCAUGAUAGAACCAAAGUCACCUGAGAUAUGCAGUCUGCAUCUUCAGAGCUUGUGCAGGUCCCUCUGGACAUCAUCCUGUCCCUCAGGUGUGUCAACCACACCACUCAGCUUGGUGUCCUCUGCAAACCUGCUGAGGGUGCACUUGGUCCCAGUGUCUGUGUCAUUGACAACGAUACUAAGCAGUAUCGGCCACAGUGCGAAACCCUGAGGGACACCACUUGCCAUGGAUCAUUCUUCUUUUCAAAUAACCUCCAGAAAGAUCCCUCAAUCCCACAAAUGUCUCAGCUUCAGCUACAAAGCACAAUGUGGGAUUUCAAAGGGGCUUGAGGAUGGUGAGAGCUAUUUGAUCAGCUGAGAAGGCUACUUACAGGAUCUCCCAGACAUCUGGCCCCAAUCUGUCACUGCUUAAUCCUACCAUCUUAAACAUUUUGUUGAUGUUUGAUGCCUGGGUUAACUGUAACAAACGCUGUGUGAUCCUCAAUGUCUGUAAAUGUCAACAGAGCUCGUCAACAAGUUCAUCAAUAAAAAUAAUAACUAUAUGGCAA